UACGAAGGGAGCUAGCGUUGUUCGGAAUCACUGGGCGUAAAGCGCACGUAGGCGGAUGUGUCAGUCAGGGGUGAAAUCCCGGAGCUCAACUUCGGAACUGCCUUUGAUACAGCACGUCUUGAGUCCGAUAGAGGUGGGUGGAAUUCCUAGUGUAGAGGUGAAAUUCGUAGAUAUUGGGAAGAACACCGGUGGCGAAGGCGGCUCUCUGGACCGAUACUGACGCUGAGGCGCGAAAGCGUGGGGAGCAAACAGG
rnacentral:rRNA from 1 species